GAGGAAUUUUGGACAAUGGGGGCAACCCUGAUCCAGCGACGCCGCGUGAAGGAUGAAGGUCUUCGGAUUGUAAACUUCUUUUGUUCGAGACUAAGAAACCUGUAGAAAUAUGGGGAGUGAAUGUAUCGGAUGAAUAAGCCACGGCUAACUUCGUGCCAGCAGCCGCGGUAAUACGAAGGUGGCAAGCGUUACUCGGAAUUACUAGGCGUAAAGGGCAGGUAGGUGGUUUGGUAAGUCUGUUGUGGAAGCUCCCGGCUUAACCGGGAGAGGUCAACGGAUACUGCCAAGCUUGAGUGUAGGAGAGGGUACUGGAAUUCCCGGUGUAGCGGUGAAAUGCGCAGAGAUCGGGAGGAACACCAAUGGCGAAAGCAGGUACCUGGACUAUUACUGACACUAAGCUGCGAAAGCUAGGGGAGCAAAC
rnacentral:rRNA from 1 species